rnacentral:misc_RNA from 1 species
GGAAUUGAAAUAGGAGAAGAUACCAUUGAACUCAAUGCUGAUUCAAAUGGAUCAGAAUUGUUGUUAUCUAAAUUGGGAUUAAAGAAACAAUUUUGAAGAUGUUCAUAGGUAGUGUUAUCAUCAUUUAUGAACAAAUUUCCCUUUUCCAUUUUGAAAAAAAGAACCCCAAAAGGCUAAAAAUUCAAGAAGAAAAAAGGGUAGGAAUUUUCUUGGAAAAAAAAUGGACACAAUAUCUUUUGGAGUAGUAACAAAAUAUUAGAAGAAAAUGACUUUGUUGUU